rnacentral:rRNA from 1 species
AAGACCUUGCGCUUUUGGAGCGGCCGAUGCCUGAUUAGCUUGUUGGUAAGGUAAAAGCUUACCAAGGCUUUGAUCAGUAGCUGGUCUGAGAGGACGACCAGCCACACUGGGACUGAGACACGGCCCAGACUCCUACGGGAGGCAGCAGUGGGGAAUUUUGGACAAUGGGGGCAACCCUGAUCCAGCCAUGCCGCGUGAGUGAAGAAGGCCUUCGGGUUGUAAAGCUCUUUCAGCCGGAACGAAACGGUUACGGAUAACACCCGUGACUACUGACGGUACCGGAAGAAGAAGCACCGGCUAACUACGUGCCAGCAGCCGCGGUAAUACGUAGGGUGCGAGCGUUAAUCGGAAUUACUGGGCGUAAAGCGUGCGCAGGUGGUUUUGUAAGUCAGAUGUGAAAGCCCCGGGCUCAACCUGGGAACU